CACCGGCUUGCAUAUUACAUUAGUGUCGUCCUGUUUGCUCAAUGUGGCAGAACCACUGCUGGUUCGGCUGCCUUCCACUUCUAUUGUGCUUUUUUUUUUUUUCAAUGCCUUUCAUUUAUUGUGCCAUGUUCCCCGUUUGGGAGAGUUCAUACGAAAGAAACUCACUCAUCUCCCGAACGGGGACCACCCGGAUAUCCCAUUUAGAACGUUCAAGUAGACACAGUUGCGAAACCGCAAGUGAAGCAAUUAGGGAGUACUCCCCUGGGUGGCCAUUUC